GAUGAACGCUGGCGGCGUGCUUAACACAUGCAAGUCGAACGGAAAGGCCCAAGCUUGCUUGGGUACUCGAGUGGCGAACGGGUGAGUAACACGUGGGUGAUCUGCCCUGCACUUCGGGAUAAGCCUGGGAAACUGGGUCUAAUACCGGAUAGGACCACAUUUUGGAUGGUGUGGUGGAAAGUUUUUCGGUGUGGGAUGAGCUCGCGGCCUAUCAGCUUGUUGGUGGGGUAAUGGCCUACCAAGGCGUCGACGGGUAGCCGGCCUGAGAGGGUGUACGGCCACAUUGGGACUGAGAUACGGCCCAGACUCCUACGGGAGGCAGCAGUGGGGAAUAUUGCACAAUGGGCGCAAGCCUGAUGCAGCGACGCCGCGUGGGGGAUGACGGCCUUCGGGUUGUAAACUCCUUUCGCUAGGGACGAAGCGUUAUGUGACGGUACCUGGAGAAGAAGCACCGACUAACUACGUG
rnacentral:rRNA from 1 species